AGCCCUGCGCCCCUGAGGUUUUCUCUGCUGGGCCCAGGCGGCUGGGGAGUUGGGGAAGGGCUGCAGCGAAAAGGGUGACAGCCCUUUAGGGAGCAGUGGCCUCCAUCUUUCUGUGCUACACUGGCCCCACCCCAGCCCUCCUAGGUGAAGCCCACAGCCGUGGCAACACAAAAGGGUGAUUUGCGGUGACUAUUUCUCUGAAUUACACGGGACCAAGGAAACGUGACCAGGCUCAAGAUUUCUGGACACAGAGACACUGAGGACAGAGCUGGUUCCAUCAGAGCCCAGCCCCUGUCCCAGAUCCUGGAAUCUUAGUUGAGGCCCGAACUUGAAUUCUUCACUUGUCAGGAUGAGGGUUUGGACACAGACUCAUCCCUCCUCUGCCAAUUCUCCUUUCAAACUGAGGCAUAAGAUUUUUUUUUUUUAAUUAAAAAGACCCCAAAACCUGA
rnacentral:lncRNA from 1 species